AUCCAGAUGACGAGUCCCAAAUGGGACAAAAUGCGCAUGCUGACUGGAU
rfam:Trichobilharzia regenti genome assembly, scaffold: TRE_scaffold0036453